UACGGAGGGGGCUAGCGUUAUUCGGAAUUAUUGGGCGUAAAGGGCGCGUAGGCGGCCCGGUAAGUCAAAGGUGAAAUCCCUCGGCUCAACUGAGGAACUGCCUUUGAAACUGUCGGGCUUGAGGCCGGGAGGGGGUAGCGGAAUUCCCAGUGUAGCGGUGAAAUGCGUAGAUAUCAAGUGGAACACCAGUGGCGAAGGCGAGUCCCUGGACAACUCCUGACACUGAGGCACGAAAGCUAGGGGAGCAAACAGG
rnacentral:rRNA from 1 species